rnacentral:rRNA from 1 species
UACGUAGGGUGCAAGCGUUAAUCGGAAUUACUGGGCGUAAAGCGUGCGCAGGCGGUUAUGCAAGACAGAUGUGAAAGCCCCGGGCUCAACCUGGGAACUGCAUUUGAAACUGGCGGGCUUGAGUGUGGCAGAGGGGGGUGGAAUUCCGCGUGUAGCAGUGAAAUGCGUAGAGAUGCGGAGGAACACCGAUGGCGAAGGCAGCCCCCUGGGCCAACACUGACGCUCAGGCACGAAAGCGUGGGGAGCAAACAGG